rnacentral:rRNA from 1 species
AGAGUUUGAUCCUGGCUCAGAGUGAACGCUGGCGGCGUGCCUAAUACAUGCAAGUCGAACGAUGAAGCUCUAGCUUGCUAGAGUGGAUUAGUGGCGCACGGGUGAGUAAUGCAUAGAUAACAUGCCCUUUAGUCUAGGAUAGCCAUUGGAAACGAUGAUUAAUACUGGAUACUCCUUACGAGGGAAAGUUUUUCGCUAAAGGAUUGGUCUAUGUCCUAUCAGCUUGUUGGUGAGGUAAUGGCUCACCAAGGCUAUGACGGGUAUCCGGCCUGAGAGGGUGAACGGACACACUGGAACUGAGACACGGUCCAGACUCCUACGGGAGGCAGCAGUAGGGAAUAUUGCUCAAUGGGGGAAACCCUGAAGCAGCAACGCCGCGUGGAGGAUGAAGGUUUUCGGAUUGUAAACUCCUUUUGUUAGAGAAGAUAAUGACGGUAUCUAACGAAUAAGCACCGGCUAACUCCGUGCCAGCAGCCGCGGUAAUACGGAGGGUGCAAGCGUUACUCGGAAUCACUGGGCGUAAAGAGCGCGUAGGCGGGAUAGCAAGUCAGAUGUGAAAUCCUAUGGCUUAACCAUAGAACUGCAUUUGAAACUGUUAUUCUAGAGUAUGGGAGAGGUAGGUGGAAUUCUUGGUGUAGGGGUAAAAUCCGUAGAGAUCAAGAGGAAUAUUCAUUGCGAAGGCGACCUGCUAGAACAUAACUGACGCUGAUGCGCGAAAGCGUGGGGAGCAAACAGGAUUAGAUACCCUGGUAGUCCACGCCCUAAACGAUGAAUGCUAGUUGUUGUGGAGCUUGUCUCUGCAGUAAUGCAGCUAACGCAUUAAGCAUUCCGCCUGGGGAGUACGGUCGCAAGAUUAAAACUCAAAGGAAUAGACGGGGACCCGCACAAGCGGUGGAGCAUGUGGUUUAAUUCGAAGAUACACGAAGAACCUUACCUAGGCUUGACAUUGAUAGAAUCCGCUAGAGAUAGUGGAGUGCUAGCUUGCUAGAACUUGAAAACAGGUGCUGCACGGCUGUCGUCAGCUCGUGUCGUGAGAUGUUGGGUUAAGUCCCGCAACGAGCGCAACCCUCGUCCUUAGUUGCUAACUAUUCGGUAGAGCACUCUAAGGAGACUGCCUUCGCAAGGAGGAGGAAGGUGAGGAUGACGUCAAGUCAUCAUGGCCCUUACGCCUAGGGCUACACACGUGCUACAAUGGGAAGCACAAAGAGAUGCAAUAUUGUGAAAUGGAGCAAAUCUAUAAAACUUCUCUCAGUUCGGAUUGUAGUCUGCAACUCGACUACAUGAAGCUGGAAUCGCUAGUAAUCGUAAAUCAGCUAUGUUACGGUGAAUACGUUCCCGGGUCUUGUACUCACCGCCCGUCACACCAUGGGAGUUGUAUUCGCCUUAAGUCGGAAUGCCAAACUGGCUACCGCCCACGGCGGAUGCAGCGACUGGGGUGAAGUCGUAACAAGGUAACC